UUCCGGUUGAUCCUGCCGGAAGCUACUGCUAUUGGAGUUCGAUUAAGCCAUGCGAGUCUAAGGGAUCUUCGGAUCCCUGGCGUAAUGCUCAGUAACACGUGGAUAAUCUACCCUCAGGUGGGGCAUAAACCCGGGAAACUGGGGCCAAUUCCCCAUAGAUACAGAUCGCUGGAAUGCUUCUGUAUUCAAAGCUCCGGCGCCUGAGGAUGAGUCUGCGGCCUAUCAGGUUGUAGUCAGGGUCAAGACCUGACUAGCCAGCGACGGGUAUGGGGUGUGAGAGCACUUGCCCAGAGAUGGUUUCUGAGACACGAAACCAGGCCCUACGGGGCGCAGCAGGCGCGAAAACUUCGCAAUGCGGGAAACCGUGACGAGGGAACUCCAAGUGUCUAUGCAUUGCAUAGACUGUUUUUUAGCCUAAAUAGCUAUUAGAGUAAGGGGUGGGCAAGACCGGUGCCAGCCGCCGCGGUAACACCGGCACCUCGAGUGGUAGCCACUAUUAUUGGGCCUAAAGCGUUCGUAGCCGGUUUGGUAAAUUCUUGGGUAAAUCGUACCGCUUAACGGUGCGGAUUCCGGGGACACUACCAGACUUGAGACCGGGGGAGAUCAGAGGUACUUGCGGGGGAGCGGUGAAAUGUUGUAAUCCCGCAGGGACCACCAGUGGCGAAGGCGUCUGAUCAGAACGGCUCUGACGGUGAGGAACGAAACCCUGGGGCGCAAACGGGAUUAGAUACCCCGGUAGUCCAGGGCGUAAACGCUGCUGACUUGGUGUUGGGGAUCCUACGAGGAUGUCCAGUGCUGGCGCGAAGGUAUUAAGUCAGCCGCCUGGGGAGUACGGUCGCAAGACUGAAACUUAAAGGAAUUGGCGGGGGAGCACUGCAACGUGUGGAGCGUGCGGUUUAAUUGGAUUCAACGCCGG
rnacentral:rRNA from 1 species